GGCGGACGUAGCCAAGUGGAUUAAGGCAGUGGAUUGUGGAUCCUCCAUUCGCGGGUUCAAUUCCC
rnacentral:tRNA from 1 species